rnacentral:rRNA from 1 species
UACGAAGGGGGCUAGCGUUGCUCGGAAUCACUGGGCGUAAAGGGUGCGUAGGCGGGUCUUUAAGUCAGGGGUGAAAUCCUGGAGCUCAACUCCAGAACUGCCUUUGAUACUGAGGAUCUUGAGUUCGGGAGAGGUGAGUGGAACUGCGAGUGUAGAGGUGAAAUUCGUAGAUAUUCGCAAGAACACCAGUGGCGAAGGCGGCUCACUGGCCCGAUACUGACGCUGAGGCACGAAAGCGUGCGGAGCAAACAGG